UACGAAGGGGGCUAGCGUUGCUCGGAAUUACUGGGCGUAAAGCGCGCGUAGGUGGUUUGUUAAGUUGGAUGUGAAAGCCCCGGGCUCGACCUGGGAACUGCAUCCAAAACUGGCAAGCUAGAGUACGGUAGAGGGUGGUGGAAUUUCCUGUGUAGCGGUGAAAUGCGUAGAUAUAGGAAGGAACACCAGUGGCGAAGGCGACCACCUGGACUGAUACUGACACUGAGGUGCGAAAGCGUGGGGAGCAAACAGG
rnacentral:rRNA from 1 species